rnacentral:rRNA from 1 species
CCUACGGGUGGCUGCAGUGGGGAAUAUUGCGCAAUGGGCGAAAGCCUGACGCAGCGACGCCGCGUGAGGGAUGAAGGUCUUCGGAUCGUAAACCUCUGUCAGCAGGGAAGAACGGUCACUGUGCUAAUCAGCAGUGAAUUGACGGUACCUGCAAAGGAAGCACCGGCUAACUCCGUGCCAGCAGCCGCGGUAAUACGGAGGGUGCGAGCGUUAAUCGGAAUUACUGGGCGUAAAGCGCUCGUAGGCGGUAUGUCAAGUCAAGGGUGAAAUCCCCGCGCUCAACGUGGGAACUGCCUUUGAAACUGGCAAACUGGAGUGUGUGAGAGGAUAGUGGAAUUCCAGGUGUAGGGAUGAAAUGCGUAGAUAUCUGGAGGAACAUCAGUGGCGAAGGCGACUAUCUGGCACAUAACUGACGCUGAGGAGCGAAAGCGUGGGUAGCAAACAGGAUUAGAUACCCUAGUAGUC